AUGAAUUUGAAAAAUAACCUGUGGACUUGUAAUUAAUCAGCAUGCGAUGACGUCACAUACGGUUUCGCCGCGUCUUGUGGGAAAAUACCGGUUUGGGAGAAAUGGAAAGGUGGGGGCAGACAUGUGCGAGUCCAGCGCAGCAAACCUUUCUUUCUACGCACCAGAAACAUAGCGAGAGCAACGCUUUUUCACCAUACGUUAAUGUGGAAGAGUGAACAGUAAACGGUUAAUCUUACUGUGAUCCUGUCGUCAUUGACAAAGGUUUAACUCGGUGUUUAGUUCGGCGUUCCGUUACACCCGAGCGCGAACGCUACAAAUAUUAACAAUCAGGUCCCCAUUACAGUACUUGGAGAAUGUUGCUCUGUCAAAGAUUACAGUUUUCUCUUCUUAGAAGAUCCCCGGUACUACUUCUACCUUUACCUGUCAACAUUUCAAAUGGUCCACAAAUGCUACCUCAUUAUCUUGUUCUCUUUCUUCACUAUUUAUUUUUUAUAUAUUCUUAUUGUAACUCAAAGUAAUUUUUUGUGUCUUGCACUGUACUGCUGCCACAAACAACAAAUUUCACAUUUGACAACGUUAAAUCUGGUUCUGUUUGUGGUUCUGAUCAUGCCAGAAUCUCAGGAUUACCUGGAGGUGAGUUGUUCCUCUGGUGGUUUG